rnacentral:rRNA from 1 species
GACGAACGCUGGCGGCGUGCUUAACACAUGCAAGUCGAACGGAAAGGCCCUGCUUUUGUGGGGUGCUCGAGCGGCGAACGGGCGAGUAACACGUGAGUAACCUGCCCUUGACUUUGGGAUAACUUCAGGAAACUGGGGCUAAUACCGGAUAGGAGCUCCUGCUGCAUGGUGGGGGUUGGAAAGUUUCGGCGGUUGGGGAUGGACUCGCGGCUUAUCAGCUUGUUGGUGGGGUAGUGGCUUACCAAGGCUUUGACGGGUAGCCGGCCUGAGAGGGUGACCGGCCACAUUGGGACUGAGAUACGGCCCAGACUCCUACGGGAGGCAGCAGUGGGGAAUAUUGCACAAUGGGCGGAAGCCUGAUGCAGCAACGCCGCGUGCGGGAUGACGGCCUUCGGGUUGUAAACCGCUUUCGCCUGUGACGAAGCGUGAGUGACGGUAACGGGUAAAGAAGCACCGGCUAACUACGUG